UACGAAGGGGGCGAGCGUUGUUCGGAUUUACUGGGCGUAAAGGGCGCGCAGGCGGCCAUUCAAGUCAGGCGUGAAAGCCCCGGGCUUAACCUGGGAGGUGCGCUUGGGACUGGGUGGCUAGAGAUCGGGAGAGGGUAGCGGAAUUCCCAGUGUAGCGGUGAAAUGCGUAGAUAUUGGGAGGAACACCAGUGGCGAAGGCGGCUACCUGGACCGGUUCUGACGCUGAGGCGCGAAAGCGUGGGUAGCAAACAGG
rnacentral:rRNA from 1 species